rnacentral:rRNA from 1 species
GGCUAACGCUGGCGGCGUGUCUUAGCCAUGCAAGUCGAGCGGACUUAUGGGGUAACUUAUAAGUCAGCGGCGGACGGCGGAGUAACACGUAGCUAACCUACCCUCUGGACGGGGAUAACCUACCGAAAGGUGGGCUAAUACCCGAUGUAGUCAUCCUGUAUAGGGGUGAUGAAAGGUGGGCUUCUGUUUACAAGCUCAUGCUGGAGGAGGGGGCUGCGGCCUAUCAGGUAGUUGGUAGGGUAAUAGCCUACCAAGCCGAUGACGGGUAGCCGGCCUGAGAGGGUGACCGGCCCGAGGGGCACUGAGAUACGGGUCCCACUCCUACGGGAGGCAGCAGGCUAGAAAUUUGGGCAAUGGGGGAAACCCUGACCCAGUGACGCCGCGUGCAGGAAGGAGCCCUUCGGGGUGUAAACUGCUGUCGUGUAGGGAGAAGGGUACUAAGGUGAACAAUCUUAGUACUUGACGGUACUACAGGAGGAAGCCCAGGCUAACCUCGUGCCAGCAGCCGCGGUAAGAUAGCGUACUCUCC